AUGUGCGUUCAUACUAUCACUAAUUCACCGGAUCAUAUCAGAACUACGCAGUCCAGCAUUUUUGGGCGAGAGUAAUACUAGGAUGGGUGACCUCUUGGGAAGUCCUCGUGUUGCACCUC
rfam:Lupinus angustifolius cultivar Tanjil contig_4178, whole genome shotgun sequence.